rnacentral:rRNA from 1 species
AUUGAACGCUGGCGGCAUGCCUUACACAUGCAAGUCGAACGGCGGCGGGGACUUCGGUCCGCCGGCGAGUGGCGAACGGGUGAGUAAUGUAUCGGAACGUACCAUUGAGUGGGGGAUAACGUAGCGAAAGUUACGCUAAUACCGCAUAUUCUCUCCGGAGGAAAGCAGGGGACCGCAAGGCCUUGCGCUCUUUGAGCGGCCGAUAUCAGAUUAGCUAGUUGGUGAGGUAAAGGCUCACCAAGGCGACGAUCUGUAGCGGGUCUGAGAGGAUGAUCCGCCACACUGGAACUGAGACACGGUCCAGACUCCUACGGGAGGCAGCAGUGGGGAAUUUUGGACAAUGGGGGCAACCCUGAUCCAGCCAUGCCGCGUGAGUGAAGAAGGCCUUCGGGUUGUAAAGCUCUUUCGGCCGGGAAAAAAUCGCAUGGGCUAAUAUCCUGUGUGGAUGAUGGUACCGGAAUAAGAAGCACCGGCUAACUACGUGCCAGCCGCCGCCGUAAGAC